GCCAGACUCCUACGGGAGGCAGCAGUGAGGAAUAUUGGUCAAUGGCCGGGAGGCUGAACCAGCCAAGUCGCGUGAGGGAAGACGGCUCUACGGGUUGUAAACCUCUUUUGUCAGGGAGCAAGGUGCAGGUCGGGACCUGCUGUGAGAGUACCUGAAGAAAAAGCAUCGGCUAACUCCGUGCCAGCAGCCGCGGUAAUACGGAGGAUGCGAGCGUUAUCCGGAUUUAUUGGGUUUAAAGGGUGCGCAGGCGGAGGCAAAAGUAGGCGGUAAAUCCGCGGGGCUAACCCCGGCUCCGCCGUUGAAACUGUGUCCCUUGAGUGCGCGAAGGGUAGGCGGAAUGCGUGGUGUAGCGGUGAAAUGCAUAGAUAUCACGCAGAACUCCGAUUGCGAAGGCAGCAUACCGGCGCUCAACUGACGCUCAUGCACGAAAGCGUGGGUAUCGAACAGGAUUAGAUACCCGAGUA
rnacentral:rRNA from 1 species